GGGUCAGUAGGUUGGUCGUGCCACCGGUACGUACUGGUCUCAUUGAUUCCUCCUUCCUGAAGAACCGUAAUGCCAUUAAUUUGGUGUUGCGGGGAAACAGGACUGUUACUUUGAAAAAAUUAGAGUGUUUAAAGCAAGCUAACGCUUGAAUACAUUAGCAUGGAAUAGUGAAAUAGGACGAUCGAUCCUAUUUUGUUGGUUUCUAGGAUUGACGUA
rnacentral:rRNA from 1 species